rnacentral:rRNA from 1 species
UACAGAGGUGGUAAGCGUUGUUCGGAAUUACUGGGCGUAAAGGGCGCGUAGGCGGUCUUCUAAGUCUUGUGUGAAAUCCCUCGGCUCAACUGAGGAACUGCACGGGAUACUGGAAGACUUGAGUUCGGGAGAGGGAAGCGGAAUUCCGGGUGUAGCGGUGAAAUGCGUAGAUAUCCGGAGGAACACCGGUGGCGAAGGCGGCUUCCUGGACCGAUUACUGACGCUGAGGCGCGAAAGCUAGGGGAGCAAACGGG